rnacentral:tRNA from 5 species
GGAGACGUGCCUGAGUGGCCGAAAGGGGCACCCUGCUAAGGUGUUGACUGCGCAAGCGGUCCAGGAGUUCGAAUCUCCUCGUCUCCGCCA